rnacentral:lncRNA from 1 species
GCUUUGCCAAUUUUCAUCUCAUGUAGCUUAAUUCAGACUUGAGUAUUUAGUAGUUAAUUGCAUUUAUUUUAUGCUUUCAGAUAUAGCCAACAUAACUGAAAUUUGCACGUCAGAUGUUGAUUCGUCGAUUGUUGCCGCCUUUCAUUGAAUUUUACAACUCCUUGAAUCGUCACCGAGGCUCUAAAAAGCCAGGAAACGAUCCAUGGAGGGCCUUUUGUACCAGGAACCUGUUGUCAUAUAGCUGUACCUGGUCAGCCAGUGCGAGUACUAUAGCUCUGUAGGCAUCGUCUAUUAAGUGGGUAGAGAACACUGAAACUCUGUGUGCAACUCCUUGUUUUCUAGAUUAAGAGUCUGAUGCAUCGUGACCGGCGUUAGUGAAAAACCAUAGAGUAACUUAGAUAAAACUUAAAUUAUUUUGCUACCAACACAUCGUGUAGCCUUAAGAUUCGAUCCACAUCUGUCGUACCACAAAGAAGUUCGUUAACAUAUAGCGUACGUCAAAUACUAUUGUAAAGUAAGUUGAUUAUAAAUAUUGGAUUGAUUAUAAUACAUUAGAUUAAUUAAAUCAUACGCUAACUUAACUAAGACGAUUAGAAAAUAUGUUGCAUAAAUUGUCGUCUACCAACAAUAUAAGACUAAAUAAUAAAAACGAAACCUCUACACCUAUAAAAUAAACACUUAUAUAACACCUCUAAUUGUGUUACUCGGGCUAGAAAGCUAAAAAUACAACAUAACAAGUGAACAUACAAUACCUCUUAUUUGAUUUAUUGACGGAAAAUCCUUUCUACAAUAAUUAAUAAUAAUCAUCUUUAAAAUAUCCACGAGAAUCUAGACAGGUCCGCCAAAAUUAUAUGUAUUAACGCAGCCUACUUCAUUCCACAAUAACAUAACACGGACCAGUCGAGUAUUACAGCAAGACAGUCCACGGAUCGAUCGUACAAGGACUCAGAAUCGACACCGCUGAGAGGACGUGCUGGUAGCCGAGCAGUCCAGUAGCAGAGAAUAAAAAAAGGUUGUAACAGAGGUCGACCACAAAUACCAUUGGAGUCGACUUCUGAGAAAACUCGAAAAAGAAGAUUGACUGAUCUUAGUACUCAGAUAAGUACUGAUGAGUUGUGUAAUUUGUCUAAAAAAACUGAAAUUAGAUGAAAAUGAAAGUGGACUACAGUAAGUGGAUAAAAUUUGUAAUCCGAAGUCCGCCUAUGAACUGUUAAAUAUAGAUAAAAAGAUUGAAGAAACCAAAAUGACCCCACAAGUAGCAUUAUCUUUGAUAAUUGAGGCAAAUCUGAUAAAGAAGUCGUAUAUUUUAUUGAGAAAAAAUGUUUUUAAACAAAAGUGUAAUAUUUACCCACCUUAUAUAAAGAUUUUCACCCUUACCCGCUAAGUAGCACGAGCCGAAAACAAGUGCGUCUUCGAGUAAAAGACGAGUCUUGAAACCACACAAGGUAUAAAAGCCCACUUAGCUUGUGGUACACACCAUAUUUUUUGUGAAGCGUGGACAUACUUCGUGUUUUUUGGUGUGUUAAGUAGGGCUGAUGUGACUAUUUUUU